AAUUAAAAUCGGGUCAAGCGGAAACAUGAAACACGGGCACUCUCUCUCUAUUCCGAUUGCUCCUUCUCCACCAUCUUUCCAGCUCCAACCCUAACCCCUCCCACCACCGUCUCCCUCUGCCUUCCGUUUCAGUGGAUUAUAGUCGACAAUUUUGUUGGCGUGCACGCCUUGAGGUAGGCGAACCUUCAGGAGUCAGAGAGACCGAGAUCCGUUCUGCAUAUGCAUCUUUUCGGGUUUACCUAAAUUCUUCCCCAUCAGCUUAUCAAAAUCAUGCAACUGACUAUGAGUUGGCCUUUCGGCCCCAUAAUCUUAUAAUUCUCUCUCUGGGCUCUCUCCUUCAGCUCUUCCAUUUUCCCCAAAUUUUAGACACAUUUAGGGCUUGUAAAAGGGUGUUCGUGCGAGAUUGGUAGACAAGGACUUUGCUCCUAAGGUAUCUAUUAAUCUAUGUUAUAAAUGUCGAAAUUCUUGGAAGGCGCUGAACAUUAGAUGAGAAUGAUAUUAAGAAACAAGAGGAAAGGCUAGGGGCAGUUGCUUCCUUUCUUGGAUGAAGUUGAUGCUGAGAUGUGAAGAGUGCAACAUGAGGUUGAUGAUGAAGAUGAAAUGGAAAAUGAAGAUGAGUAAGAUGGAAUGGAAGAUAAUGGUCCAAAUAAUGAUGGUGAAUUCGAACAGUACAACCAACAAGGGAGUGGACACAAUUUAGGAUUGCUCUAGCAUGAGUAAUGUUUGUUGACUAUCAAAUUAGACAAAGCCAUCAUGCAAGUUGAAGUUUCAUAGGAAAUUAUUCAGACUAAAUUGAAUAUUAGAAUGGCCAUUUACUGAAGAAUAGUAGUAAUGUAUAAUUGUGCUUUUCUUUCUCAUUUUCUUUUUGGCUUAAAUCACUUUGUUUGCAUAUUCAUCUAUUGAAAUAUUUUGUAUGAUGCAAAACUCAAACAUUUAUAAAAGGUACAUGCUAUGACUUCCCUCCCCAA